CCCUACUGCUACUAGACUACAUCUAACACGUCGACCUCUCCGUGGAACUGGCAGUCGUUUGCCACGUGCCGCGUGACUUCUUUCGGAACCCAGGAUUGAGACGAGUCAAUGAGAUAAGUUACUCUCCCGUUAGGAGUUCGGUUGAUUGGUUGACUAUUCCCUCCAACGGUGUGACCUCGACCUCUAGUUCGUGGACCUCAUCAUGGAGUAUUGUAACAUGUACUUUCGUAAACUCCUUCGUGGAUGUAACUCAAGUGCCAGACGCCACGAGCUCCUUUGUGGUUUCCGUUUCCGCUGACAGCUUUCUCCAUCACUACGUUACGAGGUAACGUCGACGGAGGGGAAUCGUUCUCCUCCUUACCGUGUACCUCCUAAGGAGAGGCAGGUUUACGGGUUGCUUCCCAGCUACCAGUACUUAGUUUCAAUUGAAGGAGAGAUGAAUAGUAAAUUGACGCUGUUUCUUAAACUCGGUCGUGGUUAUGUUGACAGACUACGAAACGUUUCAUCCGUAAUUCUUAU
rnacentral:rRNA from 1 species